CCUGGUGGUUAUGGCGGGGCGGCUGCACCCGUUCCCAUUCCGAACACGGCCGUGAAACGCCCCUGCGCCCAUGGUACUUCGUCUUAAGACGCGGGAGAGUAGGUCGCUGCCAGGUCUGCCAAACGCAACAAAC
rnacentral:rRNA from 1 species